UACGAAGGUCCCAAGCGUUAUCCGGAUUUAUUGGGUUUAAAGGGUGCGUAGGCGGGUUGUUAAGUCAGUGGUGAAAGCUCCGAGCCUAACUCGGAAAUUGCCAUUGAUACUGACGAUCUUGAGUACAUUUGAGGUGGGCGGAAUGUGUCAUGUAGCGGUGAAAUGCUUAGAUAUGACACAGAACACCGAUUGCGAAGGCAGCUCACUAAACUGUAACUGACGCUGAGGCACGAAAGCGUGGGGAGCAAACAGG
rnacentral:rRNA from 1 species